rnacentral:rRNA from 1 species
UACGUAGGGACCAAGCGUUGUUCGGAUUUACUGGGCGUAAAGGGCGCGUAGGCGGCUUAACAAGUCACUUGUGAAAUCUCCGGGCUUAACUCGGAACGGCCAAGUGAAACUGUCAAGCUAGAGUGCGGAAGGGGCAAUCGGAAUUCUUGGUGUAGCGGUGAAAUGCGUAGAUAUCAAGAGGAACACCUGAGGUGAAGACGGGUUGCUGGGCCGACACUGACGCUGAUGCGCGAAAGCGUGGGGAGCGAACAGG